UAGGGAAUCUUCGGCAAUGGACGAAAGUCUGACCGAGCAACGCCGCGUGAGUGAAGAAGGUUUUCGGAUCGUAAAACUCUGUUGUUAGAGUAGAACAAGGACGUUAGUAACUGAACGUCCCCUGACGGUAUCUAACCAGAAAGCCACGGCUAACUACGUGCCAGCAGCCGCGGUAAUACGUAGGUGGCAAGCGUUGUCCGGAUUUAUUGGGCGUAAAGCGAGCGCAGGCGGUUUCUUAAGUCUGAUGUGAAAGCCCCCGGCUCAACCGGGGAGGGUCAUUGGAAACUGGGAGACUUGAGUGCAGAAGAGGAGAGUGGAAUUCCAUGUGUAGCGGUGAAAUGCGUAGAUAUAUGGAGGAACACCAGUGGCGAAGGCGGCUCUCUGGUCUGUAACUGACGCUGAGGCUCGAAAGCGUGGGGAGCAAACAGG
rnacentral:rRNA from 1 species